CCCCAUGGACUGUAGCCCUCCAGGCUCCUCUGUCCAUGGGAUUCUCCAAGCAAGAAUACUGGAGUGGGCAGCCGUUCUCUUCUCCAGGGGAUCUUCCCAACCCAGGGAUCAAACCUGGAUCUCCAGCAUUGCAGGCAGAUUCUUUAACAUCUGAGCUGCCAGGGAAGCCCUUCAUUCCAAAAAGGGAAUCGUAAAAAUAUGCAUAGUACAACAGUAUUUAAAAAUCAGUAAAGUGAAAGAAUUCCCAACCCAGGGAUUGAACCCGGGUCUCCUUCAUUGUAAAAAUCAGUAAGGUGGUAAAAAUAAAGAAGGAAGGGAAAAAAAUUAAAACAUAUUUUAAAGAAAAGUAUAUAAGAAAAGUAAAUAAGGAGGUGAACUGGGUUAAAGUAGAGAUGUGAACUGAAUCUUGGGAUGAGGUUGAUUCCCAAGAUGAUGUUGUGAAAUCCAGGCCAUUUGCUCGACGUGGGCCCCAGAGCUGGCUUUGGGCUUCUGAGCACUCAAAACAGAUGGGGGAAAUGAUUGACAGUAAGACUCAGAGGGUCCUUGUGGGGUGAAAGCAAAUCAGCUGUGCAGGAGAAACUCGAUUUUUCCCUUGGUACCAAGACCUUCCUUCUGUGGGUCUUCACAAGGAGAAUGUGGUGUGACAUGGUGCGAUGCCCUGUAACUGAUCAGAAGAUCUGCUCUAUAAUGCUGUCUUAGCCUCUGCCUCUCCGUACACAUGUGGCCCAAAGCCAACAUCUAAUUUAGUAAAAGCAGUUUUAUAAAUGACCGUAAACUAAUGAAAUUCUAUUCUCCAGUUUAUUUCAAUGAUGCAAUGAAAAUCAAUACAGGCUGGUUAUGCAUAACAGCUCUGUUCACUUGUGAGGUUUCCAAAGCUACCACGCGGCAGCCUGGUACAUGGGAAUUCGAUGUUUGGGCUGGACGGGGCAAGAAGAAUUUUCUACCUCUCUUCUAAAGAAGACUCUGUCGAAUCUUUAGGACGUGCCUGGGAAGAGGGGGUUGGGAGAAACCGAAGAGAAGUGGGCUUUCUUGGUGUGAGCUCUAAUUUGAGAGACCGUUUGGGCUGGGCCUGCAGGACUUGACUUUGCGGGGAGGAGAAAUGUGCUUCACUGGAAAAAUUGUAGUUCCUCACCACCAAGGAGCAGGCUCAGGGGUCAGGCCAAGAGAUCAGUUUGGGAUAGGUUGAAUUUGCAGUGCCCCCAUUGGGAAGUUAUGUUUUCUACAGCAUACGCACACACACACUGUGAAUCCGAACCCUUGUCAUUACACAGAGAUCUGACAGAUUCUGUCAGCCAAGUGAGAGCAUAUACACAGAGGCAAACGAUGAGAAGUGGGUUUUAAUUUUGAAAUUUGAAAUUCAGAUGUUUUUCGAAUAAAACCAUCCUUAAUAGUAGCAGCAAAUGUGGUGUUUUCUCGUCAUCACUAAUAAAGUGGUGGGUCUCGCAGUCUUUUCUUUAUAAUAAUUGUGCUUAUUUAUUUAGGCUGCACUGAGUCUUCGUUGCUGCAUGGGCUUUUCUCUAGUUGCGGCGAGCAGGGGCGACUCUCCAGUUGCCGUGUGCAGGUUUCUCAUCGCAGUGGCAUCUCUCGUUGCAGAGCACAGACUCUAGAGCAUGCGAGCUUUUUAGUGGUUGCAUGAGCUGGGCUCAGUAGCUGUGACUCCUGGGCCCUGGAGCACACACUCAGUAGCUGUGACUCCCGGGCCCUGGAGCACAGGCUCAGUAGCUGUGACUCCCGGGCUCUAGAGCACAGGGUCAGUAGCUGUGGUGCACGGGCUUGGUUGCUCUGCUGCACGUGGGAUCUUCCUGGACCAGAGAUCAAACCUGUGUCUCCUGCAUCGGCAGGAGGAUUGUUUCGCACUGAAUCACCAGAGAAGCCCAGUCCUCGCAGUGUUAUAUGUUACAUGUCAUCAUAUGUCUUUAUAAGCGCACACGGUGAAACUCAGGGGGUUUGGACCCUUUGUCUAGAGUCCGUUGACAAGAGACAGAAGCAGAGUUUGUGCCUUUUUGUAGCACCUUCGCUCUAGGUCGUCUUUCUCUUUUAAGGAAAGAGUGUCUCUUACCUUUCUCUCUCCCCCCAUCCACACUGGAGGUAGGACCUGGGCUUGCUGCUGUCUUGCAGGGCAUCUGUGGACCACGUUCUCGUACAGACGCAGAGGGCAGUGGUGAGGAAGCCUUCACGUCCGGGCUGGGAAUGUUCUAUUGCAGAGGCAGCCAGGCGCGAGGGACUGACAGCAUCUGCAACGGGAGUUUGGACAGUGUGGAACCUGGUCAACCAGCCGAGCCCACCCAGAGGGUACUAGACUGAAAUAACCACGGCAAGGCUGCUUUCCUUGCACCAUCUUUCUGCACAGCCAGUUACAAUUUCAAAUCACUUCUGUCUUUGCAGGCACAGAUUUUAGCUGGAGGGGACCUCUUGGGGCCUGUAAAUGUCUUGACUGGGACCCUGAGAGGUGUGCUGAGCCUGAUCUAGGGGCCCAGCACACUUCCGGAUUCACUGCCAUUUGGGUUUUCGUGGCAGGUGCCAGGUAGGUCCCGGAGACCCUGAGUUACAUGAUGGACCCCCUUACCUCCCCCAGAGAACCUUCUCCACCAACAGCCAGGAAGCCUUGCGACCUGUGGUCAGAGCCCAGUGCUGUGGCUGCUUAGUUUGUCAACCCCUCCAGGAUGCUUAGUCGUUCACUUGUGUCCAACUCUUUGAGUCCGCAUGGACUGUAGCCCGCCAGGCUCCUCGGUCUGUGGGAUUUCCCAGGCAAGAAUACUGGAGUAGGUUGCCAUUUCCGCAGUCUAAAAACCUGUGCCCGAUUCUGGAAUCUCUCAGAGGCCCCGGGAGCUGGAAAUAUGUCUCUUCUAAAAGGAGAGCACCUUGGCAUCCCCACCCACAAGAGUCUUCAAUUCUGAAUGGAAUCGGGGCCCUGGUUGGCCCGAUUUUUGAGUUGCGUUUUCACCACAUUCACGGUGCUCUAUUAUUUGAAACAGCCACUAUCUGUGCCGCCCACAAGGCCUACGGGGUGGCCGGCCACGGUGGGCCGUGCGUGGGGAGCAACCACUGAUCAUCUGUCUGAAUUCAAAACGUGCAUCUCGACCCGUUUCCUCUGGCUGGUUACUUCUCUUGGAAAAUGCCUUGCUUCACUCAGCUAGCUGGCGGAGCCCCCUCGCUGUGCAAGUGAUGUCUGGACCUCUCGUGUCCCUCUCCUUUCCUGGGGCUGCUCCUCCUAGCUUUGCAAAUUCAUAGCCUCUCAGCCUCCACCUCUGGCUCAGCUUAUCAGCCGUCCUUAACCUUUGUCCUGUUAUCUUGGCGGAGCUCCACGCACUCGUGGUGCAGCAGGAAAAGAGGACGUCUGUGUUCAGAGCAGCGGUCCUCCAGCCCGCUGGUAACUCUUUCCACCCUGUUUGUUUUUUUUUCCUUUUGGCUGCGCCACGCGCCAUGUGGGAUCUUCCUCUGCACUGGGAGCAGAGACCACUGGACACCCGGGAAGGCCCUCCACUGGGCUCUAUCAGGGCCCUUCCCCAGCUUUCCUGAUGUCUUGGUUUGCCUUUGGGGAAAGCAGGAAGAGCCAUUCCAGUCGGGUCUUUACGGCUGCAGGUGUUUUCAGCCGGCUCCUCCCUGGCAACACCUGGCAUUCAUGGUCCUCUCACUUCCCAUCCUUAAGGCAAGGCACGCAGGCAGGGCAGACCUUCAGCAGAUCGGGGCAGCUCAGAGGUGUCUGAACAAAGCAGACAGAGUUCAAUUUGCUGGUCGGUUUUAACGUCAGCCUUUUUGAAGAGAGUCCGAAUCUGUAUUUCAAGUAGAGGCCAAACCAGUCAGAGGGACCCUGCUGGGAUGAUUUUGGGAAAGUGUUAUGUCCGACUCUUUGUGACCCCAUGCUAGGCUCCUCUGUCCAUGGAAUUCUCCAGGCAAGAAUACUGGAGUGGGUUGCCAUCCCCUUCUCCAGGGGAUCUUCCCGACCCAGGGGUUGAACCUGAGUCUCUAGCUUUUCAGGCAGAUUCUUUACCGUCUGAGCCACCUUCAGGAACAGGUGAUAAAGCAGGGACCUUGGGGCCAGACAGGCUCACUCUGAUCCUGCGAGAUCCAAUCCCACUAACCCUCCGGUCUGCAAGAUGGGGGCAGAUAUCUGCGUCGGGGAGUGUGGCGAAGGUUGAGUGCGAUCCUGUAGGCAGACCACAUGGUUCAAGAUGGGGUCAGCGCUCUCAGGACACGGUGAUUUCCUUUCGUAUCCGGCUUCACGAUCCAGACCUGUUUCCAGGGCAAGCUGUUGUGGCUCGGGACAACUCACUGCAGUCAGCCUUGCAGCCGCCAAACUAAGGAGAGCCCGUCUUGGGGCUUAUCCUCAGCGGCUGGGCAAACGGAAGGGAGCAGGGGUGACACCCUGAGUCGCCAGGAGAGCUCAGGGAGGCUGGAGGCAGAGGGCGACCAGGAGGAGGUCUGUGGGUGUCUGCGCCCCAGCCUGCGGACCACUGAGCUGCUCAGGGAGGCUGGAGGCAGAGGGCGGCCAGGAGGAGGUCUGUGGGUGUCUGCGCCCCAGCCUGCGGACCACUGAGCUGCUCAGGGAGGCUGGAGGCAGAGGGCGGCCAGGAGGAGGUCUGUGGGUGUCUGCGCCCCAGCCUGCAGACCACUGAGCUGCUUUCUCCUCUUUGCCUGACUUCUUCCUCUGACUCUGCCCUCAGCCCCCCGGGGAGUCUGCAUCCGGGCCCCACCUCCUGGUGACGCACAGCUGCUGGGGGCGCUGCACGGCCACGUGGCCCUGUCAAGUGCCUUCUGGCAGCUCUGAGUCCCCGGGAGGGCUUUCAGUUUUCAAGAAGUGAGAAUACUCAGCCCUGAGAGCCGGGGUGGGCGGCCUUGAAGGCAAGCCCCAGCUUCCUGUAGCUUUGGACUUCCAGCCAGUCACCCUCUGACCCCAGUCUCCUCCUGUGUGCAUGGGGGCUGUGAGUGCUGGGCGCACAUGUGUCAACCAGAGCUGCCAGGCCCCUGGCCCUCCCCAUGGGGGCCGAAUGUGCCUGAAACCAGCUCUCCAGGCCACCUCCUCCUCCUGCACCACCCCCUAGGCGGUACCACCUGCCAGGAUGAGCACCGGGGGGAGGGGGAAACGGUCUCCAACGACCAGCACCUCCCCAGCUCCGAUGCGGCUUUGAGAAGUUGUCAUUUGGGGACCCUGUUCUGCAUAACUGUGACCACGCUGGCUGAAACAGCUCAACAGUUCCCAGCACAGCCUGGCGACCCCACCGCUUCCCACGCGGCCCAGCCUUUCUCAGCCUUCACCAUGAACCUCCUUCUCUUCCAAGACACGGGCUGAGAGCUAGAAACUCAUGAAUGAAUCUUUCACUUUCGGUGUCUUCUUCCUGAAUGAGUCGUCACUUCGAUUUUUUUUUUCUCCUAACUCUGCUCUCUGAUCUCAAGGACCACAUCUGACAGAAUCCUCCUGUUUAAAAAACGAGGGGGGGAGGGUGUUUUUUUUCAACGUCUCUUUAUUAAUCAAAACGACUUUGGUUUACACUAAACGCCUUAUGCAGGACUCAUUUAGAAGACUAGAGCUGUUUGUGAGAAAGUGAAAGUAGCUGGUAAUCCUGUUUUAUAUGUGUAAAAACUGACAAGCCAUUUAAACCUUCUUCUUCCUGGUAACUUAGGGAAGAAAAAAAAGCAGCCAAGGGACUCGAAUUUUUGUCACUUUUCUUUUCUCCUGGUGCCCGGGAUAAAGAUGUCACAAGAGCUCUUAGGUGCCACACUCCUGCUCAACUCUUGAGGUAGGAGGAAUAAUUGGCUUUUUCCUUGAGAGGAGGGCAGUAGGGCCGUGUCUGAGCUAUUCUCUUGCAAAUCCCCCUGGGUACUUGAUGGUGAAGUCUCACCAGCUUCUCGUCUGCGUCUCUUCUCGCUUUCCUUUGAACAAGGGCAACGAGCUGCUCUUUUUCUGCCCAGCCCUUGUGCUGAAAAAAUCCAGUAGGUGGCCAGAGAGUCUUUAGAAGACUGAAGACAGCCUCAGAGAGCCACUGGACCGGGUUUUAAAAAGAAAAAUGUGCUAAGAUCUUUGUCCAGCCAACAAUGCAGGAGGAACUGAAUGGGACCCCGGCUUGGGGACAGGUGACUUAAAUUAGGCAAGUUACCAAUUGCCUUGUUUGACUCUGGCUAAAUGAAAUUCUCAAAAUAGUCCCUGAACCUGGGCAGUUGAAGCAAGUUCCCAGACCAGACCUCUUGACCAGCUUCAUUUCAGCCCCUCAUUUAUGGUGCGGUGGCAUCGUCUGCCGCCUCACCCAGGGGCCCCCUCCCAGCCCCCAGAAAGCUCUGCGGGACAUGGAAGGACUCUGCCAGCAGCGGGGGAGCCCAGCCCCGGGAAUUCCGUGGGCUGAGAACUUUGCCCCUUGGUAAACGACUUUUGUAAAAAAAAAAAAAAUUCUGAGUCGUGGAGAUGGUGAUAAGGAAAUUGCUCUGCAGUUUUAUGGUGCGAGUGCUCUGUUUCCUGUGCUGUCCCCUGGCGAGGCCUAAAAUUCGAGUGUGAACCUGCCCUCGGUCACCUGCCCUGCCUGGGUCUGUCUCGUGUGCACAGGUGUGUGCUAUUUCACGGGGCUGUCCCCAGGAGCGAUCUGCACCUUCCAAUAAAAGAGCCGCCGAAUGGCCUGGUGCCUUUAGCAUUCAUGUGGCAGUGGCCUAUUACAGAUAAAACAGACGUUACGUACAACUUACUGCCUCAGCGUUUUUAAGCGUACGCUCCACUGGGAUUAAGUGCUUGCUCACUGUUGUGCAACCAUCAUCACCAUCCAUUUUCAAAACUUUCUCAUUUCCCCCACUUUAAAGUCUGUCUUCUCCAUCGCCCCUGGGAGCCCCC
ensembl:lncRNA